rnacentral:rRNA from 1 species
AACGAACGCUGGCGGCAGGCUUAACACAUGCAAGUCGAACGCAUCCUUCGGGGUGAGUGGCAGACGGGUGAGUAACGCGUGGGAACGUGCCCUUCAGUUCGGGAUAACCCAGGGAAACUUGGGCUAAUACCGGAUACGUGCGAGAGCAGAAAGAUUUAUCGCUGAAGGAUCGGCCCGCGUCUGAUUAGCUAGUUGGUGGGGUAAUGGCCCACCAAGGCGACGAUCAGUAGCUGGUCUGAGAGGAUGAUCAGCCACAUUGGGGCUGAGACACGGCCCAAACUCCUACGGGAGGCAGCAGUGGGGAAUAUUGGACAAUGGGCGCGAGCCUGAUCCAGCCAUGCCGCGUGAGUGAUGAAGGCCUUAGGGUUGUAAAGCUCUUUCGUCCGGGACGAUAAUGACGGUGCCGGAAGAAGAAGCCCCGGCUAACUUCGUGCCAGCCGCCGCGGUAACAC